UACGUAGGGUGCAAGCGUUAAGUCGGAAUUACUGGGCGUAAAGCGUGCGCAGGCGGUUCUAUAAGACAGAUGUGAAAUCCCCGGGCUCAACCUGGGAACUGCAUUUGUGACUGUAGAGCUGGAGUGCGGCAGAGGGGGAUGGAAUUCCGCGUGUAGCAGUGAAAUGCGUAGAUAUGCGGAGGAACACCGAUGGCGAAGGCAAUCCCCUGGGCCUGCACUGACGCUCAUGCACGAAAGCGUGGGGAGCAAACAGG
rnacentral:rRNA from 1 species